rnacentral:rRNA from 1 species
AACGGCCAUACCAUGCUGAAUAUACCGGUUCUCGUUAGAUCACCGAAGUCAAGCAUUAUUGGGCGCGGUCAGUACUUUGCUGUG